CACGUAGGCACCAAGCGUUAUCCGGAUUUAUUGGGCGUAAAGAGCUCGUAGGCGGUUCGGUAAGUCGGGUGUGAAAACUCUGGGCUCAACCCAGAGAGGCCACCCGAUACUGCUGUGACUAGAGUGCGGUAGGGGAGCGGGGAAUUCCUGGUGUAGCGGUGAAAUGCGCAGAUAUCAGGAAGAACACCGGUGGCGAAGGCGCUCUGCUAGGCCGCAACUGACACUGAGGGACGAAAGCUAGGGGAGCGAAUGGG
rnacentral:rRNA from 1 species